rnacentral:lncRNA from 1 species
UUGGAAUGAUGUGGGUGAGAGGAAGACACUUGGGCCUGAGAUUUUGCUUGAGGUUGAGGAAAAGGUGAGAGUUGUUCGACGACACCUUUUGACAGCCCAGAGCCGCCAGAGGAGCUACGCCGAUACCCGGAGACAAGACUUGGAGUUUCAGGUUGGAGAUCAUGUAUUUCUUAAAGUCUCGCCGUCUAGAAGGAUUCGCCGAUUUGGAGUACGUGGAAAGCUAAGUCCACGUUUCGUUGGCCUUUUCGAGGUAUUAGAGCGAGUGGGACCAGUUGCUUACAGAAUCGCUCUACCCCCGCGACUAGCUGGCAUUCACGAUGUCUUCCACGUCUCAGCAUUAAGGAGAUAUGUUUUCGAUCCUUCUCAAGUGAUUGACUUCACUCCACUUGAGAUUGGCGAGGAUCUGAGAUACGAGGAGCGACCAUUGCGGAUUCUUGCUCGGGAGACGAAAGAAGUUGUUAUUGUUUAGCUCAAAUUCAGGAGUAGAUAUAUUUUAGACAUAUUAACUGAAUUGGGAGCAUGCUAUUAGCUGUUAUUAAUCAUACAUGUUGGACUUGGAUAAAAUAUAGGAGAAAAUCAGUGUUCGGAAUCUGUCAUAUGUUAAACUACCUGAUUUAGCCUUAGGGGCCGUUGUACUUUUAUACAGUUGCAGUGUUCUCGUGGUGAGUACCCCAGGUAGUCUAAUUUACUGUUACACUCGUGCUGGGAUGUCGAGUCUAUUUUUACAGUAGUGUUUAGACUGUUCCGGACUAGUGGGUGCCGUCGCAGUUGACGGUAGACCCGGAUUUCGGCAUUUUGAGAUCCGAUUGUGCCGAUGGCACGUGACUAGUGGUUAGUAGCCAAUUGGACUUAUUUUCUUGACUUUAGCCUGUGAGAGCCUGAUUGAGCUCGACAGAGAUACGCUUGCAUACUCGGUUGGGUCGCGCCCACGAGUUGCCGCUCCGGUGUUUGGCUUUGUGCUUUCGCGUUGAUGUCACUGACUAGUUUUGCUAUUCACAGACUAUUUUGCGUGGAGGUAGCGUGGCUUAGACAGGCGGGACGGGUGAGUUCACAGUCCCCGGGACGGGUGUGUUCACAGUCUCUAUUGAGAUUGGGUCAGAUUUGACAGUUACUACAGUUUGAUAGUAUAGUGGCAGGUAGCUGUAAAUUUCUCUCCAGCUUUAACUACUAGUUUGUUUCUGACUGUAGUCUUAGUGGGUGGGCCGAUGAUGUUGAGGGCGGUACCCACUGAGGACUACUUGUUUUUACAGUAGUUCUCACGCCCAGUUGUUACCACUGUUUUGCAGAGCCACAGGUUCCGGCUGCUGCGCCUUCCGCAGAUCAGGAUCGAGGCAAGGGUGUCGCGAGUUAGAGCCCUACCCGACAUGCUGAGCUAGAGGUGCCCCUACUGCAGGUAGAUGUUUUGUUUCGAGUUUAUGUACAUAGUAGACUUAACUCGCUAGUGCGAGUAGCUCUGUAUUUUGGAUUUGGACUAUGUAUAUGAAACUCAGUUUGUUUAGCUUCUGUUUUCUCUAGCAGCUCUCUACUACUGUUCGUAGUAGUGUUUGAUUUACAGGUACAGCUAUUCGCUUCGUAUACAGGGAAAAUUUCUUUGUAUACGGCGGAUUUGUCGACGUGCCCGGGGAACGAGACAUCCGGGGUGUGACAGAUUAAGUUGGUAUCAGAGCUUUGCUGUAGGUCGUUGGGACCCAGGAAACCUAAGUUUGGCAAACCUUAGGAGGGCAAGACGUGAGAGGCGUAAUUUAUUCCGAAAGUCAAUGAUUAAUUGUUCUAACUCCUCCUUGAGUGGGAUGAGUGAUUGAAGGAGUGUCUGUUUUGGCCUGAGAAAUUAUGUUGGCUGCAGAUAACAUAAUUUUGGAGGAAAACAGGGACCGCCUUCCAGACUUUCGUUGAUUGAGUCGAGAGUGUUUAUAUUUCAUCUGACCCCCAUCUGGUCCUUUCAGCUAUGUAUCGUCACCGAGGUCGACCGUCGUUACGGGAGCAUGCCCAGUUGUCGCAAGAUCGUGCGGGACCUUCCGAGAUGCCUGAGCAUGUGGAGCCGAGUGCCCAGCGUGAGCAGAGUGUUCGACCGGAGACGAGUACAUCCCCGGACUUGAGUGCACAGUUAGCCGCCCUGACAGAGGUGACGAGGCGGCAGGGGAAGUUGUUGGAGAGGAUGUGCGAGAGGCUAGCUUUGCCCCAGAGUUCAGCACCGAGGGCACCAGAGUCGUCUAUUCCACCUCCGACUAGCCCAGUGACAGCAUGAGCUGCAGCAGUCCCUACGCUAGCAGCAGUUCCAUUAGUGCUAGUUGCGCCUGCUAGGGGGUCAGUACAGUUGACAGAGGCCGAGCAGGAGCGGUGGACGGAGAGGUUGGCUCGUUUCUGCCGUUUGAUCCACCGAUUUUCGAUGGUAGUUGCACUGAGGCCUGGAUUAUUGAGGGAUGGGUCGGUGCGAUGGAGAAGUUAUUUGAGGAUCUGUUCAUUCCUGAGAGGGAGCAGGUGUCUUUGAGAGUCCAUUGCUUGGCAGGUGAUGCCCACGCCUGGUGGAGGAGAGUGAGGAGAGAGCAGGGACUGGUAGCGUUGCAGUUGAGAUGGGAUGGGUUCUGUGGAAUGCUGUUUGGGAUAUUCUUUCCCAACAGUGUGAAACAGAAGCUCGAGGAAAAUUUGAAGAAGAUUCAGCAGGGGCAUCGUCGAGUGCAGGAGUACAUUCGGGAAUUUACUCGACUCCUGAACUGUGUGCCAUUUGUGGCCAGGGACGAGGCACACAGGGUCUAUCUGUUUGAGCAGGAGCUGAGACCCAACAUUUUCAGGUUGGCGCGGACACAGAGGUCGAGGACUCUGGAUGCGUCCAUAGAGCAGGCCUUGUGGGUGCAGAGAGGUGAGGUGUUACUGCAGGAGAGGACUCAGACCGUGGGGCAGAUCAGGAUAGGAAGCGCCCAGCUCCAGAUGAUGGUGGACAGUCGAGCAGCCGGCGUCCGCCGAGACCUCCACGAUCGCGUUCUCAGAGUCGUGGGUUCUCGGGGUGUCAGCGUUCUGGGAGACCUCGGCAGCAGAGGCAGUCACCGGGGUUACCACCGUGCGUGAUAUGUGGGGGACCACACUGGGCCCGGUAGUGCAAGCAGCGUGAUGGUCGGUGUUUUGGAUGUAGACAGUUAGGGCACAUGAGGGCAGCUUGUCCUCGAGCAGCGUCUCCAGCACCAUCAUCAGCUUCAGCACCACCAGCACCGCAGCAGUCUUAUGGAGCAGCACCGAGCUACCGCCAAGAGGACAGAUCGUCUGUGCCGCGGUCGAGUGAGCGGCGACAGCAGGCUCCGAGUGGUAGGGUUUAUGCAGCCCAGGUAGAGGACUCUACAGCGGCCGACCGAGUGGUGGCAGGUAUCACUUUGAUUUCUGGCAUUAGAGUUCGUACUCUCUUUGAUACCGGUGCAUCUCAUUCGUUUAUUAACCGAGCAUUUGCAUUAUUGCAUAGUCUAGAGUUAGGAGCCUUGUCUCAGACACGAGAGGUGCAGAUCUCAGACCAUAUUUUACAGGUUGCGGAGUGUUGUUGGUCAUGUCCGGUGUAGGUAGACUCGUGGAUCAUGCCCGCAGACCUGUUGGUGUUAGGGCAGCUGCAGGACUUCGACGUCGUACUCGGUAUGGAUUGGCUGGCGCGGUACUAUACUACUAUCGAUUGUGGAGCGAGGACAGUGACGUUCUGCGAGCCAGGCCAGGAGGAGUUUACUUUUAGAGGCUGCAGGAGUACGCUGUUUAUCACUUGGAUAUCUUCGGCGAGGGCUCGACAGCUGAUGAGUAGAGGAUGUGUUGCCUUUCUGGCGACUGUUGUUGAGAUACCUACGGCGGCGCCGGGACUCGAGGAUAUCCCAGUAGUCCGCAAGUUUCCGGAUGUAUUUCCCCCUGAGUUGACGUCGUUGCCGCCGGAGAGGGAGAUUAAGUUUGUGAUUGAUGUAGUUCCUGGAACUGCACCAAUCUCGAGGGUACUUUAUCGGAUGGCGCCGGCAGAGCUGAGGGAGCUAAAAGCGCAGCUGCAGGAUUUGAUGGAUAGAGGGUUUGUGAGAUCGAGUGUUUCGCCUUGGGGAGUGCCAGUGUUGUUUGUUAAGAAGAAGAAUGGUUCACUUAGGCUGUGUGUGGAUUACCGGGAGCUGAAUAAAGUGACCAUCAAGAAUAAGUAUCCUCUACCGCGUAUUGAUGAUUUGUUUGAUCAGCUGCAGGGAUCUUAUGUCUUCUCGAAGAUUGAUCUCCAGUCAGGUUGCUACCAGCUGAGGGUGAGGGCCGAGGAUGUUCCCAAGACGGUUUUUCGGACUCGGUACGGGUAUUAUGAGUUCACGGUGAUGCCUUUUGAAUUGACGAAUGCCCCUGCCGCAUUCAUAGAUUUGAUGAACAGAGUGUUCAAGCCGUUCUUGGAUAGAUUUGUGGUAGUCUUCAUCGACGAUAUCCUGAUUUACUCCCGGAGUGAUGCUGAGCAUAAGGAGCACUUGAGGAUUGUGCUACAGCUUCUACGAGAGAAGAAGCUAUAUGCCAAGUUAAAGAAGUGCGAGUUCUGGCUACGAGAGGUUGCUUUCUUGGGCCACGUGAUUUCAGCUGAGGGAGUAGCUGUUGACCCGAAGAAGAUUGAUGUGAUUCGGGGUUAGCCUAGACCGACGACAGUGAUUGAGGUGAGGAGUUUCCUUGGGCUAGCAGGAUAUUACCGUCGGUUUGUGAAAAGCUUUGCGAAGCUUUCCACACCCCUCACUCGUUUGACGCGAAAGGGGAUUAGAUUCAUCUGGAGUGAAGAUUGUCAGAGGAGCUUUGAUGAGUUGAGACUGAGGUUGACGUCAGCUCCUAUCCUUGCCCUUCCUGUGAUGGGGGAAGGAUUCGUGAUCUAUAGUGAUGCAUCGCAUAGUGGACUGGGAUGUGUGUUGAUGCAGCAUGGUAGGGUAAUUGCUUAUGCUUCACGGCAGUUAAAGAAUUAUGAGAAGAAUUACCCUAUGCAUGACUUGGAGCUUGCCGCGGUAGUUUUUGCUUUGAAGCUGUGGCGACAUUACUUGUAUGGCGAGCACUGCGAGAUUUUCACCGAUCAUAAAAGUCUCAAGUAUCUGUUCACUCAAAGGGAAUUGAAUCUGAGACAGCACCGAUGGUUAGAGUUACUGAAGGACUAUGACAUUAGUAUUCAGUAUCAUCCCGGUAGGGCGAACGUAGUGGCAGAUACGUUGAGCAAGAAGUCAGUGCAGAGGCUGAGUUUGAUGAUCACUGAGCAGAGGCCAUUACUCGAGGAGUUCUAGCGGCUGAGGCUUGAGGUAGUGUCCCCUGGAUCUACUGCGAGACUGAUGUCUUUGGUUUUGCAGCCCAUUCUGUUGGAUAGGAUCCGGGAGAAACAGAGUGGAGAUCCGUACCUGUUGAGGAUUCGAGAGCAGUUAGACAGGGGGCAGGCUGGGGGUUUUGCUGUGGACAGUUCGGGAGUACUACGGUACAGGGACCGGCUGUGUGUGCCUAUGGAUUCAGAGAUCCGAGAGGCUAUUUUGAGAGAGGCUCAUUAUUCACCUUAUACGAUUCACCUUGGAGGAACCAAGAUGUAUAAGGACUUGAAGGCACAGUUUUGGUAGAAUGGGAUGAAGAGGGACAUUGGCAGAUUUGUAGCUCAGUGUCUGACUUGUCAAUAGGUAAAGGCCGAGCAUCAGGUACCUGCUGGCAAGCUUCAGAGUCUGUCAGUGCCCGAGUGGAAAUGGGAACAGAUCACGAUGGAUUUCGUUGUGGGGUUGCCUAGAGCACAGGGUGGCUUCGAUGCGAUUUGGAUGAUAGUGGACAGACUGACUAAGUCUGCUCACUUCCUACCAGUUCAGACCACUUGGUCCAGAGAGAGACUCGCGCAGCUUUACUUGGAUGAGAUCGUCAGGCUACAUGGUGUGCCAAUAUCGAUCGUAUCAGACCGAGAUCCGAGGUUUGUAUCGCAUUUCUGCAGGAGUUUACAGACAGCUUUGGGGACUCAGUUACAUUUCAGCACAGCAUUUCACCCACAGACGGAUGGUCAGUCGGAGCGGACCAUUCAGACUCUAGAGGACAUGCUGAGAGCGUGUGUCCUGGACUUCAGAGGAGGGUGGUAUCGACACUUGAGACUGGCAGAGUUUGCGUAUAACAACAGCUAUCAAACGAGUAUUCAGAUGGCUCCGUUUGAGGCAUUGUAUGGACGCAGGUGUCGAUCCCUAUUGUUUUGAAGUGAUGUGGGUGAGAGGAAGACACUUGGCCUGAGAUUUUGCUAGAGGCUGAGGAAAGGGUGAGAGUUGUUCGACGACACCUUUUGACAGCCCAGAGCCGCCAGAGAAGCUACGUCGAUACCAGGAGACGGGACUUGGAGUUCCAGGUUGGAGAUCAUGUAUUUCUUAAAGUCUCGCCGUCCAGAGGGAUUCGUCGAUUUGGAGUGCGUGGAAAGCUCAGUCCACGUUUCGUUGGCCCUUUUGAGGUAUUGGAGCGAGUUGGACCAGUUGCUUACCGGAUUGCUCUACCACCCCGACUUGCUGGUAUUCAUGAUGUGUUCCACGUCUCGGCGCUGAGGAGAUAUGUUUUCGAUCCUUCUCACGUGAUUGACUUCACUCCACUAGAGAUUGGCAAGGAUCUGAGAUACGAGGAGCGACCGGUGCGGAUUCUUGCUCAUGAGACGAAAGAAUUGCGCA